CCUCCAAAUGUCACAAUUCAAAAUCGUUUCCGAUCUGUUCCGUUGUGUCACACCACCACAGUUACUCGCCAUCGUGGAACUACCUAGAGCGCACUUCGACGUCUUCAGCCGUCCCACACACACCAACGCCACCGCUUUGAACCGUCGUACGUCCGCUGUAACUACAUAUGCCUUCCAGCACCAUGGCGCCCGUUGCUUCGAUCUAAGAGGUUUGCAUACUUUUUGUGGAUGACUUGAAUUGUGGAUUGUUGCUUUACUUGCUAAACUAAGGUAAUCUGGGAUAAUAUGGGAUUUUAGUGAGGAGCGUUAGGAAGUUGCUGACCAAGAUUCUUUAUUUCAGUAACGUAAUAAAAUGUAAUUAAGAUCUUUUAUUUAAUGUUAUGGAUUGGUUUUAGUUUUGAUAUCUGUAAGAGUGACACGUCAGCCCUAUUCGGGUCGGGGUGUUACAAGUUUUGUCAGUUAUUUAUACUCUAACAAAAUCAAAUGUGUUUAGUGAUUUAACUAGUUCAUUAUAUCGAUUUAUUCUUUGGAUUUUUAA